rnacentral:lncRNA from 1 species
UAUGUUAAUAUUUUAUGUAUUUUUUCUAAGAAUGUGGAUUUUUCUAAUAGUUACAUUUUGGAUGGCAUUUAGAUAUGUAUAGAAUUUUUAAAUCCUGGUUUCUCUCUAUGUAUUUAUAUUUUUUUUUCUAAUAGAGUCAUUUGGAUGUUUUUGUUCACGGAGUUUUUUCUUUUAGACAUCUAUUACGUGUGUGUGUGUGUGUGUGUGUUUUUUAGUCCUCGAUUUUUUUAUACGGAUGACGUGUAGUAGUAAGCAUUCCUUUUCAUGUGGUGCAAUUUGUAUGUAUC